AUAUCACUACCCAGUUCCGCAUCAUUUCCUAAAAUGAUGAUCUCAUUAUUAACUAUUCUCGCAAAACCGCUCCACAGAACCGCUGUUAACCAUUGGUCGUUGAGGAGGCGUAUUCUCAAAGGACCCAUAUCUACUGCUGUGUUAAUGGGGGCGUGGUUUGGUAAUACGCCAAUUUGGCCACUAUUAGUGGAUAAAAUGAUUUCUUUCACUUCACAAUCCCAAAUAAUUCGCUUAGGAGUCAGUACAUAA
rnacentral:rRNA from 1 species